CGGAUGUCGCCCAAUCGGAAUGAAGGGAGGGCGGGAUCAGUGAAAACCACGUGAUCAUCCACGAGUGCGGUGCAGAGUCGCUGAGAUAACCGGAACUGCAGAUGCUGGAGAAUCCGAGAUAACACGGUGUGCAGCUGGAUGUACACAGCAGGUCAAGCAGGAAAGCUGACGUUUCGGGCCUAGAUCCUUCGCUGAGACCAAGAUUUGUGCAAUUGAGAUACCAGCGAUCGUUGCCAAAGCCCUGUUCCCUGUGGAGAAGGUGAUGUUUAACUUUCGUGUGCUGCUUCAGUUUGUAUGAUAAAGGUGCUCUCACAAUGCUCCAUUUGAGAAGUUACAGAUCAUUCAUCUAGCGAUACUGAAGAGCUAAUGGUGAUAUUACAAGUGGACUUUCAGGUAGGAAGCUCAAUAAUUGUAACACCAAACUCUGACAGAAUUACUCAAUUCAUCAGGACCUGGAUAUUCGCAUUGUGUAUUUCCACAAUUUUACUUCUGCACUAUUCUUAGUCUUUCAGAGGGAUCGAAAGGUUGAGUUACAGAUCUAUACAAUGACUGUCCUUCCUCGCUGGCUUCCCCCACCUCUCUCUUUUGGUAGUUUUAUGCAAACACUGACUGGAUCCCUUACCUGGAGGAUAUUUAUGAAUGAAUUUGUUCUAAUGGUGAUCCAGCAUUUUCCCCAAGUAUCGCUCCACACAUGCCCAGAGAAUUUCUCAGUUUCACAAUCUGUGUCCUUCUGGUUUCUUACUCGCUACACUUAACUUUCUGUUUGAAAGUAUAGUCUGCAGUUGGAGAAUUUAAACAGGUCCACAUCCAGGUCUGACGGUCACUUUGUUUAUCACAACCCAAUUAUCUCAGGAUUUUGAACAAUGAAGGAAAAAGCAGCACUCACAUUGGGGAGAAAUGCACAUGGUGUGUGUGUUGAAGAGUCUGUGAAGAUUCAUCUGAAAUGUCCGAACACCAGUGCAGUGACACUGGGAGACAGUGUGGAAAUGUGCAGAUUGCAGGAAGGAAUUUCUUCAUCCAUCCCAGCUAGAAACUGACCACCAGAGUCACACUGGAGAGAGACCAUUGACCUGUUCUGCAUGAGGGAAAGGCUUUGCUGAUUCGAAUUCCCCGCUGAUACACCAGCGAGUUCACUCUGGGGAGAGACCUCUCAUGAGCUCUGAGUGUGGGAAGGGAUUCAUUGUCAUCCAAACUGUUAACACACCAGUGAGUUCACAGACAACCACAGUUGAAGAACUUUGCUGUCACUCUCACUAUCAAAUGAACCAUGGUUUUGGGCUGUUUGUACAGAUGUUACCGAUCCCUGCUCAAUUAAAGGUGCUGGUAUUGUGAAUGAAAUGUCACACUAACAGUUGUGUAAGGUAGAGCUUGGAAAUAGUCACGUUGUCACAACACGUCGACACAUUCGCACUGACUAAAGACUAUCCACCUGCACGAUAUGUGAAAAGGGAUUUCCUGGUUCAUCAGGACUGGUUAACUACCAGCAAAUUUCUGAAUAAGUUGAUUGGUUUGAAUAUAGCUAACAGUAGAAUCAAAAAUAGUAUCAGUGAUAAUGGGAACUGCAGAUGCUGGAGAAUCCAAGAUAACAAUGUGUGGAGCUGGAUGAACACAGCAGUCCAAGCAGCAUCUCAGGAGCACAAAAGCUGACUUUUCGGGCCUAGAGAAGGUUCAAGGCCUGAAACGUCAGCUUUUGUGCUCCUGAGAUGCUGCUUGACCUGUUCUGUUCAUCCAGCUCCACACAUUGUUAUAGUAGAUUCAAAAACCAUGUGUUUUGGGCUUGUUGCUGGAGAUCAUAGAAUCCCUCCAGUGUGGGAGCAGACCAUUUAGCCCAUCAUGUCUGCACUGACCUGACAGAGUGUCUUACCCAGACACUGUCUGCGUGAGUUUCCUCCAGAUGCUCUGGUUUCCUCCCACAGUCCAAAACUGUGCAAAUUAUGUAGAUUGACUAUGCUAAAUUGCCCAUAGUAUCUUGUGUGCAAAAUGCAGGCAUAGGGUAGGGUGUGAGACUGGGUGGGAUGAUCUUUGCAGGGUUGAUAUUGACUGAAUGGCCAUCUUCCACACUAGGAAUUCUGUGAUGAUCUCGAUGGCCCUUUAUUUGUUAGAUAGGUCUGCACACCUUUACAAUGACGGAUUCUGUUGCUCUCCACAGACAUUUGUUUAUUGGAAACAAUGUAAUCUUUCAUUUUGUGGAUAAAAAUCAAAGGAAAGUUUUAAAUCCAAA